AUGAUCUGUGACACACACACAUGCACACUUGCGCACACACACACACGCACGUUCCUCAGAAUCCCCCUUGGUGCUGCUCCCCUUUGGGCUGCAUUCUGUCCAGAACCCGCCAUCAGCACGCUCGGUCAGACAGAGGUAGCUAAAAGAAUGAACCAGGGCCGCCGGCCCCUCCAAACUCACUCAGCUUUGCGGGGCUUGGGGCUCGGGGCCUCUGCCGUGUCAUAUUCCCGCACAUCCUUCAGCUCCCGCACCUGGCCCGUCAGCACUUUGGCGGCAAAAGCCACGAUGUACUGUAGGAAGGGAAGGGAGAGGUGAAAAGAGAGCCCUGCGCCUCCUGACCGCCGUCUGCUCCAGCCACAGGCCCUCUGCCCCUUGCCCCUCGGCGGGGCCCUCAGGGACGGGGACCGGAACAGGGCCGGCGUCUGAGGAGGGCCGGGGGGCGAGGCCUUGUGGACGCGCACUCACCAGGAACCAGUAGAGGUUCAUGAGGGUGAGCAGCAGCAGGAGCACGUUGAAGAAGAAGUAGAAGGGGAUGUCAGGCACCGACCGCAGGCUGCAGUAGCUCGUGGCGUACAGGACCUUGAGCGGGAACCAGUAGAGGCGGAACCAGAACCUGCAGGAGGGAGGGGCGGCUCGGCGAGGCUGUGGGGGAGAAGCGGAGGAUGGCCCCACCCCGUGCCUGGCCUGUCCCGGCUGGAAUCAUCCAUCUGUCCCUAUCUCCUUACCCCACCCUUGUCCAUUCCUGCCCAUCUGUCUCCUUUUCUGCUCUGUCCUUUCCAGCCCACUUGCCUCUUCCCGACUCACACCGCCUUACUGCCCUGCCAGGCCCCACCCACCUCACCAACCCCACCCGCUUCCCCUCUGGGACCCGCUUUCUCCUUGCUCGGCCACGCCCACUCGUCUAAACCCCACCCCCUUCCC
rnacentral:lncRNA from 1 species